GCGCCUCUAGCUCAAUUGGAUAGAGCAUCUGACUACGGAUCAGAAGGUUGCAGGUUCAAGUCCUGCGAGGCGUGCCA
rnacentral:tRNA from 1 species